GUGCCUGCUCUCCUAGGAGCCCUGCCUGCUGCCUACACCCACCGCAGCCACUCGUUUUGGCACAUCUGAUGUUUGGAAAUAUCUUGGGAUGGAGACAGUUUUGUAGAAGUCAUGGCUGCCCCGCAUCUCAAGGGCAAGCUCUGUGGUCUUUGUGGCAACUACAAUGGACAUAAACGUGAUGACUUAAUUGGUGGAGAUGGAAACUUCAAGUUUGAUGUGGAUGGCUUUGCUGAGUCUUGGAGGGUGGAGUCCAAUAAGUUCUGCAACAGACCUCAGAGAAAGCCAGUGCCUGAACUGUGUCAAGGGACAGUCAAGGUAAAGCUCCGGGCCCAUCGAGAAUGCCAGAAGCUCAAAUCCUGGGAGUUUCAGACCUGCCACUCGACUGUGGACUACGCCACUUUCUACCGGUCCUGUGUGACAGACAUGUGUGAAUGUCCAGUCCAUAAAAACUGUUACUGCGAGUCAUUUUUGGCAUAUACCCGUGCCUGCCAGAGAGAGGGCAUCAAAGUCCACUGGGAGCCUCAGCAGAAUUGUGCAG
rnacentral:sRNA from 1 species